UACCAUGGUUAUUACGGGUAACGGAGAAUAAGGGUUCGACUCCGGAGAGGGAGCCUUAGAAACGGCUACCACAUCCAAGGAAGGCAGCAGGCGCGAAACUUAUCCAAUCUUGAAUAGAUGAGAUAGUGACUAAAAUAAGAAGACCAUUCCUAUGGAACGGUCAUUCCAAUGAGUUGAUCAUAAACCUUUUUCGAGGAACAAGUGGAGGGCAAGUCUGGUGCCAGCAGCCGCGGUAAUUCCAGCUCCACUAGUGUAAAUCGUCAUUGCUGCGGUUAAAAGCUCGUAGUUGAUCUGAGUUACAUGCAGUGGUUCACCUUUGGUGUUAAUCGCUGUUGUGACUAUUUGCUGGUUUUCUAUUAAAGCUUCGGCUUUUUUAGUGGCUAGCGAGUUUACUUUGAAUAAAUUAGAGUGCUCAGAACAAGCGUUUGCUUGAAUGGUCGAUCAUGGAAUAAUAAAAGAGGACUUCGGUUCUAUUUAUUGGUUCAGGAACUGAAAUAAUGGUUAAGAGGGACAAUUGGGGCAUUCGUAUCCCUGCGCGAGAGGUGAAAUUCGUGGACCGCAGGGGGACGCCCUAAAGCGAAAGCAUUUGCCAAGAAUGUCUUCAUUAAUCAAGAACGAAAGUCAGAGGUUCGAAGGCGAUUAGAUACCGCCCUAGUUCUGACCGUAAACUAUGCCAUCUAGCGAUCCGAUGGGGUAUUGUUGCCUUGUCGAGGAGCUUCCGGAAACGAAAGUCUUUCGGUUCCUGGGGUAGUAUGGUUGCAAAGCUGAAACUUAAAGAAAUUGACGGAAUGGCACCACCAGGAGUGGAGCCUGCGGCUUAAUUUGACUCAACACGGGAAAACUCACCCGGCCCGGACACCGUAAGGAUUGACAGAUUGAAAGCUCUUUCUCGAUUUGGUGGUUGGUGGUGCAUGGCCGUUCUUAGUUGGUGGAGCGAUUUGUCUGGUUUAUUCCGAUAACGAGCGAGACUCUAGCCUGCUAAAUAGUGGCUGAAUUUUCAUGUUCAGUCUACUUCUUAGAGGGAUAAGCGGUGACUAGCCGCACGAGAUUGAGCGAUAACAGGUCUGUGAUGCCCUUAGAUGUCCGGGGCUGCACGCGCGCUACAAUGGAAGAAUCAGCUGGCCUAUCCAUUGCCGAAAGGCAUUGGUAAACCGUUGAAACUCUUCCGUGACCGGGAUAGGGAAUUGUAAUUAUUUCCCUUGAACGAGGAAUUCCUAGUAAGUGUGAGUCAUCAGCUCACGCUGAUUACGUCCCUGCCAUUUGUACACACCGCCCGUCGCUGUCCGGGACUGAGCUGUCUCGAGAGGACUGCGGACUGCUGUAUCGAGGCUUUCGGGUCGCGGUAUGGCGGGAAACAGUUCAAUCGCAAUGGCUUGAACCGGGUAAAGUCGUAACAAGGUAUCUGUAGGUGAACCUGCAGAUG
rnacentral:rRNA from 1 species